rnacentral:misc_RNA from 1 species
GAUGAAGAACGUAGCGAAAUGCGAUAAGUAAUGUGAAUUGCAGAAUUCAGUGAAUCAUCGAAUCUUUGAACGCACAUUGCGCCCCAUGGCAUUCCGUGGGGCAUACCUGUUCGAGCGUCAUUUCAACCUUCGGGCGGUCCUUUGGUCCGUCUGGAUUUGGGUGUCGUCUAAUGGCGUGCCUUAUAAGAAUUGGCGGUGUAGGUGCCGGCUUCGAGCGUAGCAGAUGCGAUUCGCUUUGGAAGCUGGCGUGCUCACCUUGCCAGAAAAGUCUCUGAAGAGCUGACCUCGGAUCAGGUAGGGAUACCCGCUGAACUUAAGCAUAUCAAUAAGCGGAGGA